rnacentral:rRNA from 1 species
CCUACGGGUGGCUGCAGUGGGGAAUAUUGGACAAUGGGGGGAACCCUGAUCCAGCCAUGCCGCGUGUGUGAAGAAGGCCCUCGGGUUGUAAAGCACUUUCAGUGAGGAAGAACGCCUGGUGGUUAAUACCCAUCAGGAAAGACAUCACUCACAGAAGAAGCACCGGCUAACUCCGUGCCAGCGGCCGCGGUAAUACGGAGGGUGCGAGCGUUAAUCGGAAUUACUGGGCGUAAAGCGCGCGUAGGUGGCUUGAUAAGCCGGUUGUGAAAGCCCCGGGCUCAACCUGGGAACGGCAUCCGGAACUGUCAAGCUAGAGUGCAGGAGAGGAAGGUAGAAUUCCCGGUGUAGCGGUGAAAUGCGUAGAGAUCGGGAGGAAUACCAGUGGCGAAGGCGGCCUUCUGGACUGACACUGACACUGAGGUGCGAAAGCGUGGGUAGCAAACAGGAUUAGAUACCCGAGUAGUC